GACGGAGGGUGCUAGCGUUGUUCGGAAUUACUGGGCGUAAAGGGCGCGUAGGCGGCCGGAGAAGUCGGAUGUGAAAGCCCGGGGCUCAACCUCGGAACUGCAUUCGAAACUUUUCGGCUAGAGAACGGAAGAGGAGAGUGGAAUACCCAGUGUAGAGGUGAAAUUCGUAGAUAUUGGGUGGAACACCGGUGGCGAAAGCGGCUCUCUGGUCCGGAUCUGACGCUGAGGCGCGAAAGCGUGGGGAGCAAACAGGAUUAGAUACCCGCGUA
rnacentral:rRNA from 1 species